AUUGAACGCUGGCGGCAGGCCUAACACAUGCAAGUCGAACGAGUGGCGGACGGGUGAGUAAUGUCUGGGAAACUGCCCGAUGGAGGGGGAUAACUACUGGAAACGGUAGCUAAUACCGCAUACCAUCGGAUGUGCCCAGAGGGGAUUGGCUUGUAGGGGAGGUAACGGCUCACCUAGGCGACGAUCCCUAGCUGGUGUGAGAGGAUGACCCGCCAGUCGGGAGCUGAGACCCGGUUCAGACUCCUACGGGAGGCAGCAGUGGGGAAUAUUGCACAAGGGGCGCAAGCCUGAUGCAGCCAUGCCGCGUGUAUGAAGAAGGCCUUCGGGUUGUAAAGUACUUUCAGCGGGGAGGCGUUACCCGCAGAAGAAGCACCUGCUAACUCCGUGCCAGCAGCCGCGGUAAUAC
rnacentral:rRNA from 1 species